UCCAAAAAACUCUCAUUCUUUCUGCUCUGCCUCAAUCCAAACCUACAUUCCCGUUUUGAGUUCAUUCAUUUCAUCAUCGCCACUGCUUCGCUUCGUUCCAUCAUUGAGGGCUUUCAAUUUUGAUGUUGAUGACUAUCUUCAGGAAUCUCUGAGGGAAGUUGGCGCAAUUUGAAGCUCGAUUUGAAUAAGAACUUGAAGAAGCGGGAUAUGAGCAAAAGUUUUAAAGAAACUCGGUAAGGACAUGCCAUAAUAUGGCUUCAGUGUUGUGCAGAUUGGGAAUCACUGUUGGUUAUGGAACUAAUCAUGAGGUUAUGGUGCUUGGACUCUUCAAAAAUAUUGUCAAGUGCGUGUUGGAUCCUCCAAAAGUAAGUUCAUUACUUUGAUAAGACAAAUUUCUAACUUCAUUACUGCCCGAGGCCAACUUCUAUUCAUUUUUACUUUUGCCCAAGUUAUUGAAUUUUCUCGACAGCCAAUGUAUGAUUUUGUCUUCAUUUUAUGCAUCUAAUAUAUACUUUUCGUGAAUGGUUCAAGUGUUGGACUACAAUGUACCGGGUGGUUGGAAUAAAGUGCUACUUCUAGCUAUUCUUUGUAUCUAAUAUAUACUUUUCAUAAUUGCGGGCUCUCUGUUAUUGAUAAUUACAGCUUGUUGGAAGAUGGGAAAAACUAACUAGUGAGAACAUCUUUCAAACAUCUUCCCUUGGAUGGUGCAUUGAAUAGGUUUGCAACUUAAGCACAUGAGCACGUUUGGUUUUGAGAGGGACUAUUGUUUUAAUAAUUUUCGCAGGUUGGUGUGAUUGUUUCUAAUGAUGGAAUACUUCUUCAUAACUACAUCCAAGAAUUCUGAAGAACCACUUUAGAAGAAAGCCUUAUUAUGUUGAUCUUCUUGAAUUGUUUAAUGAGGUGAGAUCUUUUACGUACAAGGAGGCUUUUAAUUAAACACCUUUUAUUGUUUUUCUGUGUUUUUUUAUACAUGAAUGGCGAUAGGACACUGAGUUUUUUACUUUUAAUAUCCAUGGAAGUUCUGGUGAUGUUAGUAACAUUCGUAGAAUGGUGUUGUUGAUUGAAUAAAGAUGCAUGCGUGGUUGUUGUUUUAUUUUUUUGGAUUCUUAAGUGGUAGUUGAUGAUUUCAUUAAAGGUGGUAAUUUUGCUACCAGUUUAAAUCCUUUAUGGUAUUCUUAAAGUCCAUCAUUUAUCGAUGUGACAGUUCCCUUGUCAAUGUGACAGGGCCCUCGCUUCUUCAAUUUUCUAUAAGUACAAUCCCGUUAAGACGUAUUUCAUGAGCACAAUUAAGAUGAGCCUGAAGCUCAACCCGAGAGGCAAACUGCUAAAUAGACUCUUAGCUCAGAGAUAUUGCAGGACGCAAUGUUAGCGAUAACGUCAAGCAUCUGAC